rnacentral:rRNA from 1 species
GAUCCUGGCUCAGAAUCAACGCUGGCGGCGCGCUUAACACAUGCAAGUCGAACGAGAAAGGGAGCAAUCCUGAGUAAAGUGGCGCACGGGUGAGUAACACGUGGGUAAUCUACCUUCUGGUGGGGAAUAACUCUGGGAAACCGGAGCUAAUACCGCAUAAGCCUGGAAAGGGAAAGGGCGAAAGUUCGCCGGAAGAGGAGCCCGCGGCUGAUUAGCUAGUUGGUGGGGUAAGAGCUCACCAAGGCUGAGAUCGGUAGCCGGCCUGAGAGGGCACACGGCCACACUGGCACUGAAACACGGGCCAGACUCCUACGGGAGGCAGCAGUGGGGAAUCUUGCACAAUGGGGGCAACCCUGAUGCAGCGACGCCGCGUGAGUGAUGAAGCCCUUCGGGGUGUAAAGCUCUUUCGACCCGGAAGAUUAUGACGGUACGGGGAGAAGAAGCUGCGGCUAACUACGUGCCAGCAGCCGCGGUAAUACGUAGGCAGCGAGCGUUGUUCGGAGUUACUGGGCGUAAAGCGUGCGUAGGCGGUGUCUUAAGUUUGUUGUGAAAUCUCCCGGCUUAACCGGGAGGGUGCGGCGAAUACUGAGAUGCUGGAGUGCGGGAGAGGUAAGCGGAAUUCCUGGUGUAGCGGUGAAAUGCGUAGAUAUCAGGAGGAACACCUGCGGUGUAGACGGCUUACUGGACCGU